rfam:Chlorocebus sabaeus isolate 1994-021 chromosome 11, whole genome shotgun sequence.
GUCUGUGGCCAUACCACUCUGAACGCGCCCGAUCUCGUCUGAUCUUGGAAGCUAAGUACGGUUGGGCCUGGUUAGUACUUGAAUGGGAGACCAUAUGGGAAUACCGGGUGCUGUAAGAA